rnacentral:rRNA from 1 species
AUUGAACGCUGGCGGCAUGCUUUACACAUGCAAGUCGAACGGUAACAGGCCGCAAGGUGCUGACGAGUGGCGAACGGGUGAGUAAUGCAUCGGAACGUGCCCAGUCGUGGGGGAUAACGCAGCGAAAGCUGCGCUAAUACCGCAUACGAUCUAUGGAUGAAAGCGGGGGACCGUAAGGCCUCGCGCGAUUGGAGCGGCCGAUGUCAGAUUAGGUAGUUGGUGGGGUAAAGGCUCACCAAGCCAACGAUCUGUAGCUGGUCUGAGAGGACGACCAGCCACACUGGGACUGAGACACGGCCCAGACUCCUACGGGAGGCAGCAGUGGGGAAUUUUGGACAAUGGGCGCAAGCCUGAUCCAGCAAUGCCGCGUGCAGGAAGAAGGCCUUCGGGUUGUAAACUGCUUUUGUACGGAACGAGACGGUCCUGGAUAAUACCUGGGGCUAAUGACGGUACCGUAAGAAUGAGCACCGGCUAACUACGUGCCAGCAGCCGCGGUAAGAC